AGACCCGAAACCCGGUGAUCUAGCCAUGGGCAGGUUGAAGGUUGGGUAACACUAACUGGAGGACCGAACCGACUAAUGUUGAAAAAUUAGCGGAUGACCUGUGGCUGGGGGUGAAAGGCCAAUCAAACCGGGAGAUAGCUGGUUCUCCCCGAAAGCUAUUUAGGUAGCGCCUCGUGAACUCAUCUCCGGGGGUAGAGCACUGUUUCGGCUAGGGGGCCAUCCCGGCUUACCAACCCGAUGCAAACUGCGAAUACCGGAGAAUGUUAUCACGGGAGACACACGGCGGGUGCUAACGUCCGUCGUGAAGAGGGAAACAACCCAGACCGCCAGCUAAGGUCCCAAAGUCAUGGUUAAGUGGGAAACGAUGUGGGAAGGCCCAGACAGCCAGGAUGUUGGCUUAGAAGCAGCCAUCAUUUAAAGAAAGCGUAAUAGCUCACUGGUCGAGUCGGCCUGCGCGGAAGAUGUAACGGGGCUAAACCAUGCACCGAAGCUGCGGCAGCGACACUUUAGUGUUGUUGGGUAGGGGAGCGUUCUGUAAGCCGUUGAAGGUGUCCUGUGAGGGGUGCUGGAGGUAUCAGAAGUGCGAAUGCUGACAUAAGUAACGAUAAAGCGGGUGAAAAGCCCGCUCGCCGGAAGACCAAGGGUUCCUGUCCAACGUUAAUCGGGGCAGGGUGAGUCGACCCCUAAGGCGAGGCCGAAAGGCGUAGUCGAUGGGAAACGGGUUAAUAUUCCCGUACUUGGUGUUACUGCGAAGGGGGGACGGAGAAGGCUAUGUUGGCCGGGCGACGGUUGUCCCGGUUUAAGCGUGUAGGCUGGUUUUCCAGGCAAAUCCGGAAAAUCAAGGCUGAGGCGUGAUGACGAGGCACCACGGUGCUGAAGCAACAAAUGCCCUGCUUCCAGGAAAAGCCUCUAAGCAUCAGGUAACAUCAAAUCGUACCCCAAACCGACACAGGUGGUCAGGUAGAGAAUACCAAGGCGCUUGAGAGAACUCGGGUGAAGGAACUAGGCAAAAUGGUGCCGUAACUUCGGGAGAAGGCACGCUGACACGUAGGUGAAGUGAUUUACUCAUGGAGCUGAAGUCAGUCGAAGAUACCAGCUGGCUGCAACUGUUUAUUAAAAACACAGCACUGUGCAAACACGAAAGUGGACGUAUACGGUGUGACGCCUGCCCGGUGCCGGAAGGUUAAUUGAUGGGGUCAGCGCAAGCGAAGCUCCUGAUCGAAGCCCCGGUAAACGGCGGCCGUAACUAUAACGGUCCUAAGGUAGCGAAAUUCCUUGUCGGGUAAGUUCCGACCUGCACGAAUGGCGUAAUGAUGGCCAGGCUGUCUCCACCCGAGACUCAGUGAAAUUGAACUCGCUGUGAAGAUGCAGUGUACCCGCGGCAAGACGGAAAGACCCCGUGAACCUUUACUAUAGCUUGACACUGAACAUUGAGCCUUGAUGUGUAGGAUAGGUGGGAGGCUUUGAAGCGUGGACGCCAGUCUGCGUGGAGCCGACCUUGAAAUACCACCCUUUAAUGUUUGAUGUUCUAACGUGGACCCGUAAUCCGGGUUGCGGACAGUGUCUGGUGGGUAGUUUGACUGGGGCGGUCUCCUCCUAAAGAGUAACGGAGGAGCACGAAGGUUGGCUAAUCCUGGUCGGACAUCAGGAGGUUAGUGCAAUGGCAUAAGCCAGCUUGACUGCGAGCGUGACGGCGCGAGCAGGUGCGAAAGCAGGUCAUAGUGAUCCGGUGGUUCUGAAUGGAAGGGCCAUCGCUCAACGGAUAAAAGGUACUCCGGGGAUAACAGGCUGAUACCGCCCAAGAGUUCAUAUCGACGGCGGUGUUUGGCACCUCGAUGUCGGCUCAUCACAUCCUGGGGCUGAAGUAGGUCCCAAGGGUAUGGCUGUUCGCCAUUUAAAGUGGUACGCGAGCUGGGUUUAGAACGUCGUGAGACAGUUCGGUCCCUAUCUGCCGUGGGCGCUGGAAGACUGAGG
rnacentral:rRNA from 1 species